rnacentral:rRNA from 1 species
GAUUAGUGGCGAACGGGUGAGUAACACGUGGGCAAUCUGCCCUGCACUCUGGGACAAGCCCUGGAAACGGGGUCUAAUACCGGAUAUGACACGCUCCCGCAUGGGAUGCGUGUGGAAAGCUCCGGCGGUGCAGGAUGAGCCCGCGGCCUAUCAGCUUGUUGGUGGGGUGAUGGCCUACCAAGGCGACGACGGGUAGCCGGCCUGAGAGGGCGACCGGCCACACUGGGACUGAGACACGGCCCAGACUCCUACGGGAGGCAGCAGUGGGGAAUAUUGCACAAUGGGCGAAAGCCUGAUGCAGCGACGCCGCGUGAGGGAUGACGGCCUUCGGGUUGUAAACCUCUUUCAGCAGGGAAGAAGCGAGAGUGACGGUACCUGCAGAAGAAGCGCCGGCUAACUACGUGCCAGCAGCCGCGGUAAUACGUAGGGCGCAAGCGUUGUCCGGAAUUAUUGGGCGUAAAGAGCUCGUAGGCGGCUUGUCGCGUCGGAUGUGAAAGCCCGGGGCUUAACCCCGGGUCUGCAUUCGAUACGGGCAGGCUAGAGUUCGGUAGGGGAGAUCGGAAUUCCUGGUGUAGCGGUGAAAUGCGCAGAUAUCAGGAGGAACACCGGUGGCGAAGGCGGAUCUCUGGGCCGAUACUGACGCUGAGGAGCGAAAGCGUGGGGAGCGAACAGGAUUAGAUACCCUGGUAGUCCACGCCGUAAACGUUG